rnacentral:rRNA from 1 species
CCUACGGGAGGCAGCAGUAGGGAAUCUUCCACAAUGGACGAAAGUCUGAUGGAGCAACGCCGCGUGAACGAUGAAGGCCUUCGGGUCGUAAAGUUCUGUUGUAAGGGAAGAACAAGUGCCGCAGGCAAUGGCGGCACCUUGACGGUACCUUGCGAGAAAGCCACGGCUAACUACGUGCCAGCAGCCGCGGUAAUACGUAGGUGGCAAGCGUUGUCCGGAAUUAUUGGGCGUAAAGCGCGCGCAGGCGGCCUCUUAAGUCUGAUGUGAAAGCCCCCGGCUCAACCGGGGAGGGCCAUUGGAAACUGGGAGGCUUGAGUAUAGGAGAGAAGAGUGGAAUUCCACGUGUAGCGGUGAAAUGCGUAGAGAUGUGGAGGAACACCAGUGGCGAAGGCGACUCUUUGGCCUAUAACUGACGCUGAGGCGCGAAAGCGUGGGGAGCAAACAGGAUUAGAUACCCUGGUAGUCCACGCCGUAAACGAUGAGUGCUAGGUGUUGGAGGGUUUCCGCCCUUCAGUGCUGAAGCUAACGCAUUAAGCACUCCGCCUGGGGAGUACGGUCGCAAGGCUGAAACUCAAAUGAAUUGACGGGG